CAAAUAGAGAGUGGGGUUGCUGAGACAAUAGUCAGCCAAUGAGUGAAUAGGGUUGCUGGUUGGAACUUAACAAUUAAUACUAGUCCUUUAAAUUUCUGUAGCACCUUGUAAACAUUGCUUGAUCAGGAUUUAAUGUUUUGGGAGUUCUUAUUUUUUUCUAUUUUGUAGGAAUGAAAUGUGACACGAGUUCUGAGCUGGCUUAUUUUCAUUUCUUCCUUUUGGAAAAUGAUCAUAGGAAUAAAGUUUCUCAAAUAUUCUAAAUAAUUUGACUGCACCAAUUACCUUCGGUUUAGUGGACUUUUUUUUUUUUUUUAAAGCUACCAUAUUACAAAAUGCCCAUAUGGUAUAAAGUUAGGUGUAAAAAUCUACAUCAAGAAUGUGUUUACUUUACUGCAGGAGCUCUAUAAAAUAAAAUUAGAACUCCUUCUGAGACACAAAGUUAUAAAUAAAUACAUGAUCAGCUUGUAAUGAGGUGGGAAUAUUCUGACGGGGUGCUGCUGGUUACAGUGAUUAGUUCUCAUUAGAUUUGGAGAUAUACACUUAUUUGUAGAACUUAGUCGUUUUUGUCAUGUUUCCUUCCUGCAUGGCUCAUUUGGACUUAAUUCUAGCCCCACGUAUUGGCAAAGCUCUACUUAAAGCUAGAUGGAAUUCACUAGAAUAUUACCCCAUUCACCCUGACCCCAAUGUCCCACCUUUUGCCUUCAGUAACAAAUGUGUGGUGUGAGUGGAAAGUCCAUUGUGUGUGCUGCUGCUCAUGAGGACGUGCUCUGUGCAGUUGGGACAACUGAAUAACUGGAGUCAUCAUCAUCAUCAGUGGAGCCCCUACUUAUGAGCAGAAGCUUGUCUCUAGGGGCUCUCUGUUAACACAACCAGACACAGCACAUGGUUAUUGCAUUAAAUUAAACCAGCCUUGUUGGAAUGCUAUAGCAGUAUUGUGCAACAAUAUGGUGACACAAAUGUUUAGAUCUGAGCUACAAAUGUCAACAGUCUUCCAAUUGUUAGAUUUUAAAAAAACCAGAUUGUCGGAUAUCUUGCCACUGUUGUACUAUUAUAACUUUUGACACACACUGCACUAUCUUUUAUUCCUUUUAAUCAGUGGCGUAGCGUGGGGGGUGCAGGGGGGGCCGGCCGCACCGGCCGCAACAUCUGGGGGUUAGGGUUAGGGGGCGCAAAUCCACGGGUUAGGGGGCGCAAAUUACUUGCCUUGCCCCGGGUGCUGACAACCCACGCUACGCCACUGCUUUUAAUAAAACUGUUUUCUGGAAUUGCUUUCUAGGAAAUGAAUGCUGCAUUUCUUACCUUAUUGUGGCUUCCCCCGCCCCCCUUGCUAGACAAAAAAGGGUUGACCCUAGUAGGUUACCAUGCUGUGUUUGUUUAGUGUUUGCAUUUAUAUGCUGCCUGUCUUCCUUUCAUGAUCUUAGGACAGGUUACAAAAUAGUAAAACACCGUAAGAAAAUUAAGCUAAUAAGAACACAGAGAACACAGCAGAUUCAAAACAGUUUACAAGCAACAUCAGAUCAGCUCCCAGCAAAAGUCUAAGUGAACAAAAAAAUGUUUAGUUGGUUUCAGAGGCCAAACAUCAGUGACACAAAUUGUAUCUCAUAAAGGAAACUGUUCCACAGCCAAGGACACCACCACCAGGAAGUCUCUUAUCACCACACAUUUAUUUAUUUAUUUGAAAGCCUUUUAUAUACUGCUUACUAUUUCAGUGAGUUUCACCUGUUGACAGGACUGCACAGAGAUCCUCCCCUACAGAUUUUAAUACAUGGACUGGUUGCUAUUGGGAAAGGCACGCCUUCAAGUAUCUGGAUUCCAAGCCAUUUAAGACUUUAUAACGCAUUGAGUUGGCUUGGUAACAUAUGGAACUGUGGAUGUAUUUUGUUUCAAAAAUUUCAAGUGCUUAGGGUAGGAUGGGUUAAUAAAUGGACUAAAACUUAGCUUUUCCCAUUCAAAAGGGGCCAUAUUUGUAGGCCUUGAAGUCUCACUGUCUAGCAGGUGUUGUUGUAUUGUGCCAUUGGGUGGAGAGGGGGGAGAUUCGGCAUGAGAUUAUGGAACCACAGAAGAGUGAUGCGAAGAAAAAAUAGGAGACACAAAUCUGUCCAAUUAUUAUGUCACCUUUGACAUACAAUUUCUGUUUUAUUGAGAAUUCUUGUAGUCAAGUCCUGACAUCACAAAGAAAUUAUGAAUACUGUGGGUUUCUGUUGAUGAUGUAUAGAACAUAUAGAUCAAACAAAAAUGCUAGGUAAACCCUCUGUAAAAUCCUUUGUGUUUAAGUGUUGCUUUAUCUUACCAUCUGUUUACCUAAAUGAUGUAUUAAUUCUGAUUGACCUGUAGCCUUUGGAAAAUGCACACUUCAUAUUUAUUCUGGUGGUAUUCAUAAUUUUUAAUGAUGGGUCAGCUAAUUUAUUCAGUGUGGAUUUCCCCUCCAUCUCCAAUCCCCAUUGUUCAUACUCUUUGUAGAUCUGUAAAUUUUACACAGUAUAGAUUGUGUAAACAUAAUUGCUGCAAUCUCAGCAUCCAAUAUUCACAAGGAGCUUGCUGAAAGGUAGGCUUCCAAUUCACCAUUAAGAAGGGGUUCACCAUGCAGCAGGAUUGUGCAUACAGAUGUUGAUGGAUAUCGUUAUAAAGGAGCUGACUUGAUACAUGAAUAUCGGCAAUCUCCUUUUAUAGUUUCUAUUUGGCUUUGUCUGAGUCAGCCAGGGACUAUAUCAUUCCUUUUGCCUGUAUCUGUAAUAAAAUUGUUUUUUGCUUAUAUGAAAUGCCUUAAUUUUGAAGUUAAUGUUUUAGAUAUAAAUUACAGUAUUGUGAACCACCUUGGGGACCCGUCCCAGUCAAAAUAAAUAAAUGACACUGAUUUUUGUUAACUUGAAACUAACUCAUCACUAGACAAGAAAGCAGCUGUCAUGUUCCUAGAUGUCAGGAAAUGUGGAAUGGUGCUGCUGUGAGUGACAAGCAUGAAGUAUAAAAUACUCUCUGGACCACAACAGAUUAGAAUGGAAAGGACGGGAUGUGACUAUGUGGGCGCUUCUUGAUUUCACUGCUCUUUGCACACUCUUUGCAACAUGAUGCUUGAUGGAGUGUGGUUCAUGGGCAAAGUACCUAGGGGGUUCAGAAUCGGGCCCUCUGGCUUUGGCUGCAUAGGGGUACAGUGUUGGGAUUAAGGUUGUCUCUGUAUCUUCCUAAAGCUUGAGAGCCAGGUGCAACUUUUCCCCAAUGCUACAUUUCGGUGCUAGAAGAGAUGCCCUUGUUGAAUCUCUUGUGCUUUGCUUUGUACCUACAAGAACCCUAUACAACAGAUCAGUGCCCCUGUAUUCAAAAUUCAAGGCUAAAGCUGACUGACAGUCCAUUUCUGAACCUUUCAAUUUGAUCGGGCCUUUUUGUAUCUGAUGCUAAUAUCUUUUCAAAUAUUUUAAUGUAGAGAUGGGCCUGAGGACUCCAAUAAAUCUCCCUGGGGCUUUAUAUCUGGCCUUCAGGACUCUCCCCAGGCCAUAGCCUCUCUCCUCAGGCUGCAUCCUUCACCAGCCCUGCAUUACAUGCCUGGCUGGAAUGUGGACAUGAACUCUGUUGAUGCUUUUUCCUUGCUCAUAUGCAGAGGGGGGUUCAUCUAGAAGGUACAUAUCACAUUUGUUGCUCUGGGCCUACCCACUACUGACAUGUGGCUGUUUGAAGCUUGCCCCAAAGCUAAUGCAGCCCUCAGGCUGAGAAAGGUUCCCCAUCUUGUUUUAAGGCUUUUGUAUUUCAGGUAGGGUAGACCCUUGUAUUUGAGAAAGACCCAUCUGAGAGCCACUGCCAGUCGGGGUCAACAAUGCAGAGAUAUGUUCCUAUCUGCUGAUAAUUUUUUUAUUGUGUUAUUAUUAUUCUAUUGGCCUUUCUUAAGCUAUCCUGCAUUUAUUUUUAUUUGUUUACUUACUCAAAAGGUACUACAUGAAUCUCUAAGAUAAAGAAAUGAAACAGUGCUUUUCUUACCGUCACCAAAUCAAUCCAAAGCUGCUUUGUAGCUCUGGAUACAGCCUACUUUAAAUACAUGUGUUCUCAUAUGACCAAGUCUUCAGACAGGCUCAAAUAUCCAUGCAGUGCAGUCCUAUCCAUGUCUACUCAGAGGUUCAUUGGGACUUACUCCUCGGUUAUUGUGUGGGCUAUUGUGUGCAUAGGAUUGCAGCCUCAAUAUGUAUUCCCUCAUUUAGUAAAUUCUGGAAGAAAUGUGCAAUAAGAUAAUAGCGUGCAAAAUUGUUAAAUGGGGAGCUGUGUCUAGUUCACCUUAAAACACUUCCUGCUGCCUUGCAACACGGUUGCAUUGUUUAUGUGGGGGAGACGAGGCAGAAUAAACAAACAAGUACAAAGACUUUCUGCUAGCGACCCGACUGCAUAUCACUUAGCAACAUCAAUAUUUUUGUGCACAAAUAAAUGUCUCAAGCUUUAGUGUAGGUUUGGGUUGUGUGUGUGUGUGUGUGUGUGUGUGUGUGUGUGAUGCUGACCUUGUAUGCAGAGAGAUCAGUUUGUUCAGUUGAUUAUUGGUCAGUCCUUAAUUUGGAUGUCUAGACAUUUCAGUCAGCGAGAAUGAAAGGCAGACAUCUAAAGACGUGAGGAGAGGUUUCAAGGCACUCUGGAACAGUAAAAAGAAAAAAACCCACCCAAGGUCCCCACUAUUUCAGUUUUAAAACACACAUUAUUAUUAUUACUGUCCAGAAUACUUACUGCCUUAUUUUUGUUGCUUAAGACAUACAUGAUUAAGAUUCAGUUAGGACUGCCAUCUAAUAAAAAUACAGUAAAUCCAAUGAAGUUUUGUUUUCUGUCAACAGAACAGAAAUUCUAAAUGAUUAAAAUUAUUAACGCUAUAAGCAGCAGUAAAUAUUAUAAAGAGUGGCAUUUUACUAUACAUGCAGCUGACUUUACAUUGUCUGUUAGUGUGAAUAGGACAGAGAGAAGGAAUUCUGCUCUGUUCUUUUUUAAAAUUGUAUAUCCAUUUGCCACCCUGGGUUCCUUGGGGAGAUAGGGCAGGAUAUAAAUUCAAUCAAUCAAUCAAUCAAUCAAUCAAUCAUUAACUAUUUUUAAAACAAAUUAUCUUGGAAAGGAGAAACAUUAUUAUGCAGAUUAUAUUAAAACUGCAGCUAUGAAUGCCUAAAUUUAUUAUAUUUCGAGAGCUAUAAUUUUACAACUCCCCCCCCCACUUUGUAUUCCCCCCCCCUCAAGGUUGACUGGAAUAAAUGAAAUAAAUGAAACCUGAGCUGUGAUGGACUCUGGUAUAUGCCCCAAUGAAUCCAGUUGACACUUGGCUUGGAAGCAGUUGGGGCAUUGUCGAGGGCUGGCUCAAGGAUGAAGGACCCCAAAUAUUUUUCUAAGUGUCACAAGUUUUCCCAAGUGGGAUAUUAAUUUGGAUAAAUAAAUUAAUUUGACUGUCUAGAGAUUAUUUGGGUAUAAUGAGUUAGGAGGACUGAAGGGGAAUUGAAUUGAUUUGGAGGAAGAUCUGUUGGGCAAUUUAUUGAGGCAAAUGAAGUGAAGAGGAACUGAUUUGGAAUGGAGUACAAAUUGAUUGAAGAGUUUAUCUGAGGUCAUCUGGGUGGGAAAUCAGUUGCCUUGCUUUUUGUGACAUUUACAUUCUAAAUUUGCAUUCAUACAUCUAUACCAGCAUAUGCAAAUUUCUGUCUAUGGGCCCUUGCCUCCCCUCCCUGAAGUUCCUAGCAACAUCUCUGGGAGAAUCCUUGACUAUAAGGUUAUAUGUCAUUUGCAUGGAGAAUUUCAGCAAAGGUUUUAUUGCUGCCUGAAGUGGAAUCUAGCAUCUCUCAACUUAAUUUCCUUGUAUUGAAUUAACAGUUUGAUCCUAAGACUUGCUGCACCAGCAAAGAAAUACCUAGGAUGGAGGGCAUACUUUCAGCUAUACCAGGGCACAGUUAUAAAACAUGACAUGUUAUAAAAUAUGACAGACUUGCAGGGAUGCUAUGCCAGUGUUUCAGGCAGAUAUGCCAGUGCAAAUAUUUAGGAUUGAGUGGCAAAUGUCACAUGACGAUCCAGCACAGGAAUCACAAGCUUGAAAGCAUGAAAGGGUAAGGACUGUAAACCCAGAAUAAAUAUAUAUAUUUGUAGUAGCAAUAUUUGCUUUCUUCAAAGUGUUUCUAUUACCUGUCAUCACUUAGAGUGGCAAAUUUAUAUUGUUAACCUCUUAGUGAUAUUGAAUAUAUAUUCUGGAAUGUUCAAGCUUUAGGGAAUGUUUUAAAUAUCUUCCAGUGACAUCUGAGUAAAAACUAGAUAACAGGAAAGUGAUUCAGACUGUUCUGCAAUCUUUAGAAGGACAUAUUGACCCCAGUCCGGAUCCAGUGGUUCCAUCAGGGUAUGAAUUUAGGGCAGAAGUCCAGGGCCCCACGCAACAGAAAAAGCUGUAAGAACCAACCCCU
rnacentral:lncRNA from 1 species